rnacentral:rRNA from 1 species
AGAGUUUGAUCAUGGCUCAGGACAAACGCUGGCGGCGUGCAUAAAACAUGCAAGUCGGACGAGCCAAUCCCCGCAAGGGGAAAGGCUAGUGGCGAACGGCUGAGUAACACGUAGGUGACCUGCCCUGAAGUGGGGGAUAACGACUCGAAAGAGUCGCUAAUACCGCAUGUGACCACCGAUUCGUUUUCGGUGCUCAAAGUCGUAAGACGCUUUAGGAGGGGCCUGCGGCGGAUUAGCUAGUUGGUGAGGUAAUGGCCCACCAAGGCUUCGAUCCGUAGCUGGUCUGAGAGGAUGGCCAGCCAGACUGGGACUGAGACACGGCCCAGACUCCUACGGGAGGCAGCAGUUAGGAAUUUUGCGCAAUGGGGGAAACCCUGACGCAGCCACGCCGCGUGCGGGAUGAAGGCCUUCGGGUCGUAAACCGCCUUUCUCGAGGAAGACACCCGACGGUACUCGAGGCAUAAGCAACGGCUAACUACGUGCCAGCAGCGGCGGUAAUAC